AUGGACACAAGAUGGCGCCCGAGCGUCGCGGUUGAUUCUAACGAGCCGGAGUCUCUGCCGACGCUGUAGCUGCGGCCUGAGGAGAGGCCGCCCAGGCCUGAAAGCCUAAAGAGGUGUUACCCUGACUCCGGGCGCAGAGUGACCACUAGUGAUCCCGUGUCGGCACAAGAAGACUUUGAAGGUGGGACCUAGCCCAGGAUGGGGGUAGCCUGAGAGAUAUGAGCUCCUCAUUACCCCAAGUGUUCAAAUCGGGGCUACGGUAUCAGGGGAGAAUUGAAUGGGGCCCCUGAGCGCUGGGAUGUCUGACUCUGUAGGAGUUGGGUGUUUGCAGGCGGUUUUCCACCCAGAGCCCUGCUUCAGCACCAGUGUGAAGUCAGUGAAUUGACCUCUGAGAAACAGCCGUCCUUGUGUCCAGAGUUAGGCUCCUGGAUUGAAAAAUCUAGAAACCAGAGUCUGAUUCAGGCUCUAUUAGAUAUGUGGUAGUUUCUGUUGCGUCUCAGUUUCUAAACACUGGUACUUACAAGGCCUGCCCUUUGCCCCUCUGAGAGCGUUGUCAAGUGAUUUGGGUGUGUAGAUUGGAUGGCUCUUUAAGGAGAUAGACACUCCCACUUACACUUACUGUAAAAAGGAGCAUGAAAUUAAAAAUGUAUAUAGUUUUUGCUUUAGCAAUUUUAGAAAUAUGACCUACAGAUUUAAUAGCAAACGAAAUAUUUAAGUAAACAAAAAUACAGGCAGAAGUGUUUAGUGAGAUGAUGCUUGGAAUGGGGUUUUAAAAUGUAGACCGACUGUUUAUCAUAAACGUCACUUAUAGCUCACCAAGUGACGCAUGCCUUUGAUCACAGCGCUGGGGAGGCAGAGGCAGGCAGAGCUGAGCUUCAGGCCCACUGGCCUACAGAGUGGGUUCCAGGAUAGCCAGAGUUACAGAAAGAAACCUUGUCUCAAAAAAUAAAAUAAUUUAAUAAAAGGUCACUU
rnacentral:lncRNA from 1 species